rnacentral:lncRNA from 1 species
UUUUUUUUUUUUUUUUUUUAAUUUUAUUUAUUUAUGAUAGUCACACACAGAGAGAGAGAGAGGCAGAGACAUAGGCAGAGGGAGAAGCAGGCUCCAUGCACCGGGAGCCCGACGUGGGAUUCGAUCCCGGGUCUCCAGGAUCGCGCCCUGGGCCGAAGGCAGGCGCUAAACCGCUGCGCCACCCAGGGAUCCCUUCAUCAGCUUCCUAACUGGGCUCACUACUUCUAUCACCAGCCCCUUCCCCAUCAAUUUUUCAGUAGCCUAAAUUAUCUAUUAAAUUUCUAAAAAAAAUUUUUAAUUUUGAAAUAAUUUUAUACCUAUAGAAAAGGUGCAAAAAAGUGCAGGACGUUCCUCUAUAUCCUUUACCCAGCUUGGAAAGCCAGGAGAUUAACACUGAUGCGGUACGAUAAACUAAGCUAACAAACCUUAUUCAGAUGAUACCAAUUUUCCCACUAAUGUGUCUGGUCCAGGGAUCCAGUACAGGACCUCACAUUACAUUUCAUUGCCCUGUCUCUUUAGCCUCCUGCAACUUAUGAUGGGUCCUCUGUCUUUCUUUGUCUUUUGUGACCUCCACAUUUUUGAAAUGUACUCAUCAGUUCUUUGGUAGAAUGUUCCCCAAUUUAGGUUUGUCUUUUGUUCUCUACCAUUAGAUUGAAGUUAUGCAUUUUUGGCAAGAAUCGUCACCAAAGUCAUGUGUUUGUUCUUCACAGAACAUCCGGCGGGGGGCUGAGUGUCUUGUAAGUGUAAUAGGUCUUGCCACAAACCUUCAGUGAGUUUCCAUCUCUCUGAGGAAAUACACAUUGUGUAUUCUAGCCCCUGUGUACUUUAAUUCAUGCCUUGUGGAAGGGCGAAAACAAACCAAAAACGAGGAGUUUCAUUCUCAGUGUUGAAAAUAAGGGAUGGGACUGCCUUUCCUUCCCUAAUCUUAGAACACUUACUUUAAAAAAACUCAUAAGUUCUUCCACUGUCUGUUUGAAAUGUAUGUAAAUCUCUGUAAAAGCUAAAAUAGACUCUUACUAGCUUUAGGACCCAGGACUGUGUUUCUCAAGGCCCUGGGAGCCAUCUCUUUGAAAUGUCAUCAUUAAGGAAGAUAGAGCCCCUUACCUAACUCCCAGAGUCUGUGGGAGGAUAGAACUUAACUACAGCAGGCGCCUCAUUCCAAGUUUUAAAACUACUUCUUGUCAUAAAGAGAAGUUUAUUUUUCCUUUGAAUAAAGCCAAUUAGCUAACACAGAUGGUCACCCCACUACUAAGUAAAUUUAGGAGCAACUGUGUGACAAAUGGUGCUGUCAAGUCCUCUUACUUGACUAGUUGUUUAUCCUCAGAAUAUGUAUGUAAUGGGUUGUAUCUACUUGGCCAUGUAGAGGGGUGAGAUGGCUUGCAGUCUUUGGAAUCACUUAGUGGAUUGCUUGUGAUGAGUGUCACAUUCUGACUUAAUGCUUGUUCGAUUAUAAAACUGUUCUCUUUCUCAUCUACAUUUGUGGAGAGGUUUCCUGGAUUGGGAGAAGAUUUUGUUUUUAAUUCUAUUUCCCCAACACUCUUCUCCAUUAACUCAAUGUGGCUUUCUUUCAUGUCUUGAAAAAUCCCAAACUGUUGCUGGCUCUGAUUUUUGCCUAAACCCUCCAUCUUCCUCUACCUCUCUAUAAAACUUGUUCUUUCCAUUCUUGACUGAGCUUGUGUAUGAUGUCCCUAAAGAGGCCCUCCCAACUACCCUGUCUAAGGAAGCCACUGUUUACACCAGACUAUCACAUCAUCCUGCAUAUAUCUUACAGAGUAACUUAACACAAUCUGUACUUACAAUUUAUUGGUUUGUUGACUUUUUUUGUAGUGUGUUUUGUUUUGCUAGAGUACAAGGUCUAGGAGGAAGAGAUUCUCCUCCACCCCCAACCAGUCUCUCUUGUUUGCAGCUGAAUUCCCUAUACCUACCUAGAAUAGUGCUAGCACCUGUUAGGUGCCUGAUAACUAUUAGUCGAAUAGAAUGAACAAGAUGGACAUGAUCAGCACAUUAGGGUGGUUAUAUAAUGAAGAUGUACAUCUACUUUUAUCAUAUUUAUUUUCUACUUGUAGAGAAGUCUUAAACUACUUUUAGCAGUGUUUGUGUUUGAUGAGCAUAUAACAUGGUUAUAGAGAGGAAGGAACCCAUGAACAUACCUUCAUACUUGAAUAAAAAUAGGCCCCAAUCCUUGUUUUUCAAAUAGGAACAUGUAUAAUGUUAAAAAAAAAAAAACACGCAAAUAUUUUAGGAAAGCUUUCAUGUUAAUUUUGGCUCCAGCUGGGGCUAUUUGAAUUGUAGCAUUGACUAAUUGGCCAGUGUGAACAUCAAUUAGUCCUGAAUAAAGAGCAGGAGAGGACUGCCAAGAGGGAGGAAGUGGGGAUUCAGGUCCUUUAGCAAGUCUACUAGGAUCUUCACAUCCUUAUAGGGGAAGCCUUAGAGUUUAUGCUGACAUUUGAAGGAAGGCUUAAAACAGUGUUUCUCAAAUUUGAGCAUGCAUUGGAGGGCUUUUUAAAGAGUGGUU